rnacentral:rRNA from 1 species
CGUACACGGAUGGACAAGUCUGAUGUGAAAGGCUGGGGCUCAACCCCGGGACUGCAUUGGAAACUGCCCGUCUUGAGUGCCGGAGAGGU